rnacentral:rRNA from 1 species
ACUUAUUUGUUUCCUAAACAAGCCCAAUCUGGUCUGAUCUUGAAAACUAAGCAGGGUUGGGCCUGAUUAGUACUUGGACGAGAGCCCACCUAUGAAGACCAGGUGCUGUAGGUG